CUGUAAAUCUACAAACUCAUGUUACGGUGGUAUUUUAUUUGUGGUUGUGUCAAAACACUUCGUAAAUUUACUAUACUUUGACGAUUUUUAGAAUUAGGGCGUAAUAUUUUUUAAAUUUUGUUUUUGUUUUUGUUUUUUUUAAAUAAUAAUAAUAAAAAUAAUAAAACUUUGAAAAUGUCACUGGAGAUAUCACGUGAUGAAUAAACCGCGCGCUGGAAGAUACGCUGAUGUGCGCCAAAAAUAUCUGUCGACCAACCAACUCCUGUCGGCCGCAGACAACAUCACGCCAUCACCAUCUCAUCUUCCUUGUACUUCUCUGGUCCUCACGCUUCGUAACGUGCUGGGGUUGUCGACUGUUUCUCUCAUUAAUAGUGCUGAAAGUCUUCAAAAACGAGGACACAAUUGCUCCAGAUGAAUUUGACACAGAAACCCU
rnacentral:misc_RNA from 1 species